AGUCGAACGGCAGCGCGGGGCAACCUGGCGGCGAGUGGCGAACGGGUGAGUAAUAUAUCGGAACGUACCCAAGAGUGGGGGAUAACGUAGCGAAAGUUACGCUAAUACCGCAUACGAUCUAUGGAUGAAAGUGGGGGAUUCGCAAGAACCUCAUGCUCCUGGAGCGGCCGAUAUCUGAUUAGCUAGUUGGUGAGGUAAAGGCUCACCAAGGCGACGAUCAGUAGCUGGUCUGAGAGGACGACCAGCCACACUGGAACUGAGACACGGUCCAGACUCCUACGGGAGGCAGCAGUGGGGAAUUUUGGACAAUGGGCGCAAGCCUGAUCCAGCAAUGCCGCGUGAGUGAAGAAGGCCUUCGGGUUGUAAAGCUCUUUUGUCAGGGAAGAAACGGUGAGGGCUAAUAUCCUUUGCUAAUGACGGUACCUGAAGAAUAAGUACCGGCUAACUACGUGCCAGCAGCCGCGGUAAUACGUAGGGUGCAAGCGUUAAUCGGAAUUACUGGGCGUAAAGCGUGCGCAGGCGGUUUUGUAAGUCUGUCGUGAAAUCCCCGGGCUCAACCUGGGAAUUGCGAUGGAGACUGCAAGGCUAGAAUCUGGCAGAGGGGGGUAGAAUUCCACGUGUAGCAGUGAAAUGCGUAGAGAUGUGGAGGAACACCGAUGGCGAAGGCAGCCCCCUGGGUCAAGAUUGACGCUCAUGCACGAAAGCGUGGGGAGCAAACAGGAUUAGAUACCCUGGUAGUCCACGCCCUAAACGAUGUCUACUAGUUGUCGGGUCUUAAUUGACUUGGUAACGCAGCUAACGCGUGAAGUAGACCGCCUGGGGAGUACGGUCGCAAGAUUAAAACUCAAAGGAAUUGAC
rnacentral:rRNA from 1 species